CACAGCAGCCGCCGCCAUCGCGCCGCCGCCUGCCGCCGCGCGCGCCGGGGCUUCCGGGGUGCAGCGCGCCACUUCCGGCCAAUGCCGGAAGAGGUCAUAGAGAGCCCGUCCGAUGGCUAGAGAGCGGCGGUGCGUGCCACAGAGACAGGGGCCCAACGUGCGCGGCUAGCGCGGCGCGCGGGGGCCUGUAGGGCGUGAGGGGGCCUCCGCGGCGCAGAGAUAGCCCGCAGGCGGACGCCAGUCACCGCCAGCUACACCCCGACUCUAGAAUACCGGCUGGAUGCAGUGUCUGGAUCAUUCCUAGUGAUUGGAGCGAUAGACUUGGCUCCUGAGCUGCCUGACUUGGUCCCUGCGAGGCCUUUUCCUGUGGCAUAGACACACACGACACGGGACUACAUUAGGAUGGUGACUCAUGCCCAUGGUGGCAGUGUGAAUGGCGGGAGGAACCCACCCUGAGCAGCUGGGCCUGAGAGGCCUGGGACCAUGUCUCCCAGCCUGGAGGUGUCAGCACAGUGGACAGAGGUGGAGUUAUGGUGUCUCCUGAAGACAAGAGAGCUGCCAUGUCCUGGGUUGCCUUCCUCCACCACAGGAUGGCUGCUUGCCUCAGGCCCAGAGCAGUGGAGUCGGCCAUCUCUGGACUGAGACCUCAAACUGUGAGCCCCAAAUAAACUUUUC